AUUGAACGCUGGCGGCAUGCUUUACACAUGCAAGUCGAACGGCAGCGCGGUGCUACCUGGCGGCGAGUGGCGGACGGGUGGGUAAGAUAUCGGAACGUACCCUGAACUGGGGGUUAACGUAGCUUAAGUUACGCUAAUACCGCACACGAUCUACGCUCGAGAGUCGGGGACCGCAAGGCAUUGUGCUUUUGGAGCGGCCGAUAUCCGCUUCGCUAGUUGGUGAGGUAAAGGUUCACGAAGGCGAGGAUCAGUAGCUGAUCUGUGAGGACGAGCAGCCACACGGGAACUGAGACAGGGACCAGACGACUACGAGAGGCAGCAGUGGGCAAUGUUGGACAAUGGGCGCAAGCCUGAUCCAGCAAUGCCGCGUGAGUGAAGAAGGCCUUCGGGUUGUAAAGCUCUUUUGUCAGGGAAGAAACGGUAGAGGCUAAGAUCCUGCGCGAAUGACGGUAACGGAAGAAGAAGCACCGGCUAACUACGUG
rnacentral:rRNA from 1 species